UGAGGAAUAUUGGUCAAUGGGGGCAACCCUGAACCAGCCAAGUCGCGUGAAGGAUGAAGGUCUUAUGGAUUGUAAACUUCUUUUAUACAGGAAUAAAUUGGGGGACGUGUCCCCUUUUGCAUGUACUGUAUGAAUAAGGAUCGGCUAACUCCGUGCCAGCAGCCGCGGUAAUACGGAGGAUCCGAGCGUUAUCCGGAUUUAUUGGGUUUAAAGGGUGCGCAGGCGGGAUGUUAAGUCGGCGGUGAAAUUUUGCAGCUCAACUGUAAAAGUGCCUUCGAUACUGGCUUCCUUGAGUGUAGAUGAAGUAGGCGGAAUUUGUGGUGGAGCGGUGAAAUGCUUAGAUAUCACGAGGAACUCCGAUUGCGCAGGCAGCUUACUAAACUACAACUGACGUUCAUGCACGAAGGCGUGGGGAUCAAACA
rnacentral:rRNA from 1 species